GAUGAACGCUAGCUACAGGCUUAACACAUGCAAGUCGAGGGGCAGCAUGGUCUUAGCUUGCUAAGACUGAUGGCGACCGGCGCACGGGUGAGUAACACGUAUCCAACCUGCCGUCUACUCUUGGACAGCCUUCUGAAAGGAAGAUUAAUACAAGAUGGCAUCAUGAGUCCGCAUGUUCACAUGAUUAAAGGUAUUCCGGUAGACGAUGGGGAUGCGUUCCAUUAGAUAGUAGGCGGGGUAACGGCCCACCUAGUCUUCGAUGGAUAGGGGUUCUGAGAGGAAGGUCCCCCANAUUGGAACUGAGACACGGUCCAAACUCCUACGGGAGCAGCAGUGAGGAAUAUUGGUCAAUGGGCGAGAGCCUGAACCAGCCAAGUAGCGUGAAGGAUGACUGCCCUAU
rnacentral:rRNA from 1 species